AUUGAACGCUGGCGGCAUGCUUUACACAUGCAAGUCGAACGGUAACAGGGUGCUUGCACCGCUGACGAGUGGCGAACGGGUGAGUAAUGCGUCGGAACGUGCCGAGUAGUGGGGGAUAACGCAGCGAAAGUUGUGCUAAUACCGCAUACGUACUGAGGUAGAAAGUGGGGGACCUUCGGGCCUCACGCUAUUCGAGCGGCCGACGUCUGAUUAGCUAGUAGGUGAGGUAAAGGCUCAACUAGGCGACGAUCAGUAGCGGGUCUGAGAGGAUGAUCCGCCACACUGGGACUGGGACACGGUCUAGACUUCUACGGGAGGCAGCAGUGGGGAAUUUUGUACACUGGGCGAAAGCCUGAUCCAGCCAUGCCGCGUGUCUGAAGAAGGCCUUCGGGUUGUAAAGGACUUUUGUCAGGGAGGAAAUCCCUAGUGCUAAUAACACUGGGGGAUGACAGUACCUGAAGAAUAAGCACCGGCUAACUACGUGCCAGCCGCCGCAGUAAAAC
rnacentral:rRNA from 1 species